GAUGAACGCUGGCGGCGUGCCUAAUACAUGCAAGUCGAGCGGACAGACCAGGAGUUUGCUCCGCUGUCGUUAGCGGCGGGCGGGUGAGUAACGCGUGGAUCACCUACCUAUAGGACUGGGAUAACUUCGAGAAACCGGAGAUUAUACCGGAUAAUAUAUUGAACCGCAUGGUGCAAUAGUGAAAGACGGUUUUGCUGUCACUUAUAGAUGGUUCCGCGCCGCAUUAGCUAGUUGGUAAGGUAACGGUUUACCAAGGCAACGAUGCGUAGCCGACCUGAGAGGGUGAUCGGCCACACUGGAACUGAGACACGGUCCAGACUCCUACGGCAGGGAGCAGUAGGGAAUCUUACGCAAUGGGAGAAAGCCUGACGGAGCAACGCCGCGGGAGUGAUGAAGGUCUUCGGAUCGUAGAACUCUGCUAUUAGGGAAGAACAAAUGUGUAAGUAACUAUGAACGUCUUGACGGUACCUAAACAGAAAGCCACGGCUAACUACGUG
rnacentral:rRNA from 1 species